rnacentral:rRNA from 1 species
UACGUAGGUGGCAAGCGUUGUCCGGAAUUAUUGGGCGUAAAGCGCGCGCAGGCGGUCCCUUAAGUCUGAUGUGAAAGCCCCCGGCUUAACCGGGGAGGGUCAUUGGAAACUGGGGGACUUGAGUGCAGAAGAGAAGAGCGGAAUUCCAUGUGUAGCGGUGAAAUGCGCAGAGAUAUGGAGGAACACCAGUGGCGAAGGCGGCUCUUUGGUCUGUAACUGACGCUGAGGCGCGAAAGCGUGGGGAGCAAACAGG